GCGCCUAUAGCUCAAUUGGAUAGAGCAAUUGACUACGGAUCAAUAGGUUGUGGGUUCAACUCCUGCUAGGCGCGCCA
rnacentral:tRNA from 3 species